GACAGAGGGUGCAAACGUUGUUCGGAAUUACUGGGCGUAAAGCGUGUGUAGGCGGCCGCGCAAGUCGGAUGUGAAAGCCCCGGGCUCAACCCGGGAAGUGCACCCAAUACUGCAUGGCUCGAGUACUGGAGAGGUUGGUGGAAUUCUCGGUGUAGAGGUGAAAUUCGUAGAUAUCGAGAGGAACACCGGUGGCGAAGGCGGCCAACUGGACAGAUACUGACGCUGAGACACGAAAGCGUGGGGAGCAAACAGG
rnacentral:rRNA from 1 species